rnacentral:rRNA from 1 species
UAAUACGAAGGUGGCAAGCGUUGUUCGGAUUUACUGGGCGUAAAGGGAGCGUAGGUGGUGGGGUAAGCCCCGCGGGAAAGCUCCAGGCUUAACCUGGAAAGGUCGCGGGGGACUGCUUCGCUUGAGGACGGGAGAGGAGCGCGGAAUUCCCGGUGUAGCGGUGAAAUGCGUAGAGAUCGGGAGGAAGGCCGGUGGCGAAGGCGGCGCUCUGGAACGGCCCUGACACUGAGGCUCGAAAGCGUGGGGAGCAAACAGGAUUAGAUACCCUGGUAGUCCACGCCCUAAACGAUGGACACUACGUGCCGGCGGGUCUCCGUCGGUGCCGCAGCUAACGCAGUAAGUGUCCCGCCUGGGGAGUACGGCCGCAAGGUUG